AGCGUUUAAACCGUUAGGACGUGCGAUUACGAAAUCUAAAUCUAGUCUGUAACAGUGGACGUUUAAAAGUCAACAUACGUGGUUACUGAAGAAGGCAAGAGGUGCCUGUCAUCGGUCUUGGAGGAAAUAGGGAAUAUCCAAUCACCCAGACAUAACAAGUAUCGAGGAUAAUUAUUGGUGCCGACCUUUAUUUGUUAAUAAAGUAUUUUGUAUAUA